rnacentral:rRNA from 1 species
GACGAACGCUGGCGGCGUGCUUAACACAUGCAAGUCGAACGGAAAGGCCCUGCUUUUGUGGGGUGCUCGAGUGGCGAACGGGUGAGUAACACGUGAGUAACCUGCCCUUGACUUUGGGAUAACUUCAGGAAACUGGGGCUAAUACCGGAUAGGAGCUCCUGCUGCAUGGUGGGGGGUGGAAAUUUUCGGCGGUUGGGGAUGGACUCGCGGGUUAUCAGCUUGUUGGUGGGUUAGUGGCUUACCAAGGCUUUGACGGGUAGCCGGCCUGAGAGGGUGACCGGCCACAUUGGGACUGCGAUACGGCCCAGAAUCCUACGGGAGGCAGCAGUGGGGAAUAUUGCACAACGGGCGGAAGCCUGAUGCAGCAACGCCGCGUGCGGGAUGACGGCCUUCGGGUUGUAAACCGCUUUCGCCUGUGACGAAGCGUGAGUGACGGUAAUGGGUAAAGAAGCACCGGCUAACUACGUG